UGUGACCAGAAUCUGAACAGGUGCUGUGAGUUGGUGGAGCUCACCUCCAAGAUACAGGGACAACUCUUCACCAUCCUCAACCUCACUGCUAGAGAGGGUGGUCACUAUGCGGGAGUGGACGUGCUCAAAUCACGUCUGCUGCCAUGGCUGGGGACCUGCUUCUCCAUGGCAACCUCCUCUGUCACCAAUGACACAAGCCUCAACCUCAUUCAGGAGUCUGUGGAGAAGGAAAGGAAGAUCAGGGAGCUGUCUGCCUCCCAUGAGAACGACAUGCAGAAGAUGGAGACUCAGCUGUGCUCCACUCGCCUGCAGCUGGAGUCUAUCAAACAGGAGUAAGUCUGCACUAAACAAAACAAUAUUUGUUA